GAUGAACGCUGGCGGCAUGCUUAGCACAUGCAAGUCGAACGGGAAGUGGUGUUUCCAGUGGCGAACGGGUGAGUAACGCGUAAGAACCUGCCCUUGGGAGGGGAACAACAACUGGAAACGGUUGCUAAUACCCCGUAGGCUGAGGAGCAAAAGGAGAAAUCCGCCCAAGGAGGGGCUCGCGUCUGAUUAGCUAGUUGGUGAGGUAAUAGCUUACCAAGGCGAUGAUCAGUAGCUGGUCCGAGAGGAUGAUCAGCCACACUGGGACUGAGACACGGCCCAGACUCCUACGGGAGGCAGCAGUGGGGAAUUUUCCGCAAUGGGCGAAAGCAUGACGGAGCAAUGCCGCGUGGAGGUGGAAGGCCUACGGGUCGUCAACUUCUUUUCUCGGAGAAGAAACAAUGACGGUAUCUGAGGAAUAAGCAUCGGCUAACUCUGUG
rnacentral:rRNA from 1 species